UCUCCGUUGGUGAACCAGCGGAGGGAUCAUUACAGAGUUAUCUAACUCCCAAACCCAUGUGAACUUACCAUUUGUUGCCUCGGCAGAGCCUACCCGGUAACUGUUCGGAGAAGCUACCCUGUAGCUACCCUGUAACGGCCUACCCUGUAACGUCCUGCCGGUGGCCCUAUAAACUCUAUGUUUUUUGUACAUCAUCUGAGUAACAACUAAAAAAAAAUGAAUCAAAACUUUCAACAACGGAUCUCUUGGUUCUGGCAUCGAUGAAGAACGCAGC
rnacentral:misc_RNA from 1 species